AAAGGUAGCAUAAUCAUUAGUUUCUUAAUUGGGAACUUGUAUGAAUGGUUGGACAAAGAAAAAUCUGUCUCUUGUAUUAAAAUUGAAUUUAACUUCUAAGUGAAAAGGCUUAGAUUAACCAGAGGGACGAUAAGACCCUAUAAAGCUUUAUAAAUUUAUUAAUUUCGUUUAUUUUUUUAUAAUGAUGAUGUUAAGAAAGUUUAUUUGGUUGGGGCAACCUAAGUAUAAUUAAAGAUAACUGCUACGAUUUUAUACAAUGAUUUUUGUUUUAAUAGUAAUUGAUCCUUGAAAAGAUUAAAGACCAAGUUACUUUAGGGAUAACAGCGUAAUUUAUCCUGAGAGUCCUUAUCAAAGGAAAAGUUUGCGACCUCGAUGUUGAAUUAAAAUGUCUAUUCAGUGCAGCAGCUGAAAAAGAAGGUCUGUUCGACCUUUAAUUUUUUACAUGUUUGAGUUCAGACCGG
rnacentral:rRNA from 1 species